UCACAUGGAGUUACAAAGGAGUCAGUUAAACGAAGAGGUCUGGAAAGGCCCGCCAAAGAAGGUAAAAGCCCUGUAAUUGAAAGUUGAUUCUCUCCGAGACGGAUCCCGAGUAGUGCGGGGCACGUGAAACCCCGUAUGAAUCCGGCAGGACCAUCUGCCAAGGCUAAAUACUUCCUAGCGACCGAUAGUGAAGCAGUACCGUGAGGGAAAGGUGAAAAGCACCCCGGAAGGGGAGUGAAAUAGAACCUGAAACCGUGUGCUUACAAAAAGUCAGAGCCCGUUUUAGGGGUGAUGGCGUGCCUUUUGUAGAAUGAACCGGCGAGUUACGUUCCCGUGCAAGGUUAAGGUGAAGAGCCGGAGCCGCAGCGAAAGCGAGUCUGAAUAGGGCGAGUGAGUACGUGGACGUAGACCCGAAACCGGGUGAUCUACCCCUGUCCAGGGUGAAGGUGCGGUAACACGCACUGGAGGCCCGAACCCACGCAUGUUGAAAAAUGCGGGGAUGAGGUGGGGGUAGCGGAGAAAUUCCAAUCGAACUCGGAGAUAGCUGGUUCUCCCCGAAAUAGCUUUAGGGCUAGCCUCGGAAAACAGAGUCGUGGAGGUAGAGCACUGAUUGGGUGCGGGGCCCGCAAGGGUUACCAAGCUCAGUCAAACUCCGAAUGCCAUAGACUUACUUCCGGGAGUCAGACAGUGAGUGCUAAGAUCCAUUGUCAAAAGGGAAACAGCCCAGACCAUCAGCUAAGGUCCCCAAGUGUGUGUUAAGUGGGAAAGGAUGUGGAGUUGCACAGACAACCAGGAUGUUGGCUUAGAAGCAGCCACCAUUGAAAGAGUGCGUAAUAGCUCACUGGUCGAGUGACUCUGCGCCGAAAAUGUAACGGGGCUAAACACACCACCGAAGCUAUGGCUUGAUGCUUGCAUCAGGGGUAGGGGAGCGUUGUAUAAGGGUUGAAGGUGUACCGUAAGGAGCGCUGGACAUUAUACAAGUGAGAAUGCCGGUAUGAGUAACGAAAAGAUCAGUGAGAAUCUGAUCCGCCGAAAGCCUAAGGGUUCCUGAGGAAGGCUCGUCCGCUCAGGGUAAGUCGGGACCUAAGGCGAGGCCGAAAGGCGUAGUCGAAGGACAACAGGUCGAAAUUCCUGUACCACCGUAAAUCGUUACGAGCGAUGGGGGGACGCAGUAGGGUAGUGACGCA
rnacentral:rRNA from 1 species